GGGGGGGACUAUCUACGGUACUGUCAUUAUCAUCCCGGGUAAAAGAGCUUUACAACCCUAGGGCCUUCAUCACUCACGCGGCAUUGCUGGAUCAGGCUUUCGCCCAUUGUCCAAUAUUCCCCACUGCUGCCUCCCGUAGGAGUCCCCCCGUGCCCCCGCCCCGCCCGCCGCGCGCGGCGGGGGGGGGGGGGGCACGGGGGGA
rnacentral:rRNA from 1 species